rnacentral:sRNA from 1 species
CUGGGCUGUCUGCUGCCUGUGGAUGCUGAUUAUUCACAAUGUCCUGCCCUAGCCCUGAUGCUUCUGUACCCUGGGCCAUUUCUCCAGCUGCCUACUGGACAGUUGACUGCCCCACAGACACCUCAAGCUUACAGUAGUAAAAAAAAAAAAAAAAAAAGUUGCCAUCCCUCCCUUCCCACCCCCGUGUGUCCUCUCUAGUGAAUGCCACACUCAUCCAUUCAGGAGCCUGACUCCUCCCCACUCCCGCCCCCUCUCAUAUCAUUGCACACAUCGAGGCAGCCCCGAGCCUGGUGCUUGCACUUCUCUAGUGCCCUGUUGUGGCUCAGUACAGUUGAUAGAGGCAUGCCUCCCUCAGUGGAUCUUGGCUUCACAGCUCCCCUCCACCCUCGCCAGAGCUGCAUCAUUCCUUGGCUGUAUUUUGAAACAAUGUCUUCCUUGGUCUCCAUCCCUCCCCUCAGCCCCCUAUAAUCCAGCAUCCACAGCAGCCAGGAGGAUCUUGCCUUAAAGCAAGUCUGCUGUGUCACCUCCCUGCUCAAACUCCUCCCUGGGGCUCUUUGUUGCCUCAGAAUAAAUCAAAGUAAGCAGAAACACCCCACCUCUGACCCCUCAGCUGUCUCCAGUCCUCAGCCGACAUGUGAGGGUCCAGCUAAAUGGAACUCUGGUUCCUCGCAGCUCCACGAACAUGCCAGGUUUUCUUGUCUGGGGUUUUGCACAUGCUGUUCCUGUUGCCUGGAAGGGUCCUCCUCCACCUGAGGACUCCCUCCUGCUGGCACCACCCUCCUCUGCUGGGGGCUCACCACAGGCCUUGCUUCUGUCUUGGCACUUACCACAGCUGAAAGGUCAUUGCCCUCUGCCUGUGUUCCCAGGCUAGGAGCAUCUCAAGGGCGGUGUGGUGCCUCCAUGUCCAUGCACGGCCACACAGUCUGCCCAAAGAAGGUGCUCAGGAAAGGUUUGUUGACUUAAUUACAUUUCUCCCCACACUGUCCUCCAGCUGGAGAUCAACGAUGUGACCAGGGCCUGGGGGCUGGAGGUAGACCGCGUGGAGCUGGCGGUGGAGGCCGUGCUCCAGCCGCCCCAGGACAGCCCAGCUGGGCCCAACCUGGACAGCACCCUCCAGCAGCUGGCCCUGCACUUCCUGGGAGGAAGCAUGAACUCAAUGGCAGGAGGUGCCCCGUCCCCAGGGCCAGACACCGUGGAGAUGGUGAGUGAAGUUGAGCCACCUGCCCCUCAAGUUGGUGCCAGGUCCAGUCCGAAGCAGCCUCUGGCGGAGGGGCUACUGACUGCUCUACAGCCCUUCCUGUCUGAGGCCCUGGUCAGCCAAGUCGGGGCCUGCUACCAGUUCAAUGUGGUCCUGCCCAGCGGCACCCAAAGCGCCUACUUCCUGGACCUCACUACAGGACGAGGAAGAGUGGGACACGGGGUGCCUGAUGGCAUCCCUGAUGUGGUGGUGGAGAUGGCCGAGGCAGACCUGCGGGCCCUGCUAUGCAGAGAGCUGCGGCCCCUGGGGGCCUACAUGAGCGGACGGCUGAAGGUGAAGGGCGACCUGGCUGUGGCCAUGAAGUUGGAGGCUGUCCUCAGGGCCUUGAAGUAGCAGCCUUGGCUGACUUUCCAGAGCCCAGUCCCAAGCCUGGCACCAAGCCCGAGGGGCCUCUUGGAGGAGGAGGUGUUCAUCUGCACCACAGAGAGUUGAGGCCCUAACAAAUUUCAGGCCCAGCCAAGAGCCCAUGAAUGGAGGCUGCAGGAGGCUGAGUCCGGCUGCCAUGCACAUCUCCCCUACAGUGGUUCUCUGGACAAGGCUUUGUCCAUCCCGGUCCCCAGCGGAGUGCCCAGCGCUGAGCUGGGUGCACGGUGUGAUUCCAGGAGGAGAGCCAGGCCUGCCCUGCCCUGCCCUGCUGGCUUCCUGACUGGAGAGACAGGACCCACAGAAACAGCCUGACAGCAGCUGGUUUGGUCCUUGUGUGAGGGACCAAGCAUGUGGCCCAGGCUCUAAGCUCUGCGGGGAUUGGAGAGGGAUGGGGAGGGAAGGGAAGGCAGCUCCAAGAAGAGGUCCCUGUGGCGAAGUUACCUGGGGAUCCUGGCUGGCCCACCUUCCUGGCUGCAGUCCAGGCCCGUGCUGGCGGGAUUGGGCAUGGGAAGGAGCAGGGCCUGCUGCUUCCCUGGCGCUGCUCCCAAAGAUUUCUGACUCAUCUGCCAGCUCCGUCCUGCAUGCCUGGCGAGCUGGGGCCCAGGGCAGCAUGAAGGAGAGCCCUGCGUUCUGUGCUUCUUACCAGAGGUUUGCAAGCCUCAGACAAAUAAAUGUGGUGUUUACAAUGU